GAAAUGCGAUAAGUAAUGUGAAUUGCAGAAUUCAGUGAAUCAUCGAAUCUUUGAACGCACAUUGCGCCCUUUGGUAUUCCGAGGGGCAUGCCUUUUCGAGCGUCAUUGCAACCGUCAAGCUCUGCUUGGUAUUGGGCCAGCGUCCCGGCGUGGAUGGGUCCUAAAGCAAUCGGCGGCCGAGUGACCGGCUUCGAGCGUAGUAAAAGUCUUAUCCCGCUCUAGAAGCCUGGCCUCAGCCCGCCGUACAGCCUUUUUAAACCUCAAGGUUGACCUCGGAUAAGGUAGGGAUACCCGCUGAACUUAA
rnacentral:misc_RNA from 1 species